rnacentral:rRNA from 1 species
AUUGAACGCUGGCGGUAUGCUUAACACAUGCAAGUCGAACGGUAACAGGCCUUCGGGCGCUGACGAGUGGCGGACGGGCGAGUAACGCGUAGGAAUCUGCCUCAUAGUGGGGACAACGUGGGGAAACUCACGCUAAUACCGCAUACGCCCUACGGGGGAAAGCGGGGAUCUUCGGACCUCGCGCUAUGAGAUGAGCCUGCGUUAGAUUAGCUAGUUGGUAGGGUAAAGGCCUACCAAGGCGACGAUCUAUAGCUGGUCUGAGAGGACGAUCAGCCACACUGGGACUGAGACACGGCCCAGACUCCUACGGGAGGCAGCAGUGGGGAAUAUUGGACAAUGGGCGCAAGCCUGAUCCAGCAAUACCGCGUGUGUGAAGAAGGCCCUAGGGUUGUAAAGCACUUUCAAUUGGGAGGAAAACCUGUCGGUCAAUACCGGCAGCUUGACAUUACCUUUAGAAGAAGCACCGGCUAACUCCGUGCCAGCAGCCGCGGU